rnacentral:rRNA from 5 species
GGAUGACCUCGGAUCAGGUAGGGAUACCCGCUGAACUUAAGCAUAUCAAUAAGCGGAGGA